AUGCUAAGUGCUCAAGAAAUGGGGACUCAGAAUUCUAGCAGCUCAGGAAGCUACGGGGCGGGGGGGCGGGGUGUGUGUGUGUGUGGAGUGGGCAGUGCCACUGGACUCACUCAGGCAAUGGGCUUUUGGCUUCUGGAGGGUCCUGGUUGGCCUCGAUGCCCCAGGGGAGCCCCACCAACACAACACGAACCCCUCUCCUUCUGUGACCUAGACCUGAUGGGACAGGCUGGCGGGAACACAGAGUGCCUGGGGUGGGGGAGGGGGGCUUCCUUCCGAAGCUGCUCUCACCCCACCCCACCCCAGGAGCUGGGUACGUGGCUCAGGAAGGGCACAGCUGGGCUAAAUAUAACCUGGGCUGGGCAGCUGUCCCGGGCAGAGAUGAAGUCUGUAAAAGUCUGCAAAAGUCUGCAAAGUCUGUAAAAUCCCCUCAGCCCAGGAUUGGCAUCAACAAGGUCCCUCUGGAAUGCCUCUUUCAGGCACCUUUUAUCCCCUCUGCUUAGGCCCAACUCCUGCCCCAGUCGUUUUGCUGCUUGGGCCUCUUCUGGUGCUCAGAGCCACCAAUGCAAGUUAAAGCUCAGAGUUGGGGUCAAGGGCACAGGUCCUAGCUGUGUGAUCCCAGACAGGUCACUUCCCCUGAGCCUUGGUCUCCAACCCUAAAAUAGCUACCAUAUCCAGAGGGAUUUCGAGGCCUAAGGAUGCCAGCAUACGGGCCAAUGCAGAGGAAAUACCCCAGAUGUGGGCGCCAACACUAUCUGGAGGGUCUGGGGGCUCACGAGAGAGGCCAGGGAAAGACACGGAGCCCUGAACACCCAGGAGAGCUGGAGAGGAGCCUUCUGCCACUGUGGAUACAGCUGGAGCAUUGAGGAGGGGCCCCGUGUCCUCUGUCCUGGCCAGUGGUGGGCCAUGAAGGGCCAUUGUGCGGCUGGGGGUGGGUGGGCAGGGGCGGAAUGUGACCAGGCACAGCAGACAGGCCAUUGUUUGAGGGAAUGUGCCGCGUGAGGCCUGACCUUUCCCUGUGGAGUGGGGGUUGGCAGGCUGGCAUGCCAGGUGGGGGCCGGGAGGGCAAGGCCAGAGUGGGGGGCGGUGGUCCAGGGAGGGAGACAAUAUCCAUUUCCUUUUCUACAGAAGGGCCUGCUGGGGAGGUUGCAUGCGAACCCCAGCUCUGCUUCCUUCCCGCUGUGCUGUGUGACCUUAAGCAAGGUGCUUGCCCUCUCUGAGGGGCUGAGGUUUUCUGCGGUAAGGUGGAAAGUGAAGGUCUUAGCACAGGCCUGGCAAAGAGUAACCACUCAAUGCCCGUUAGUUAUUAUUAUCUGUAUAAACGGCUGGAGCUUUCAGACAAGUUCAAGACCUGGCUUGGCACUGGUGACCCAGGCAAGUGACCUCCCUUCUCCCAGCCUCAGGUGUCGUCCAUGUAACAGGC
rnacentral:lncRNA from 1 species